UUAAGCGACUAAGCGUACACGGUGGAUGCCCUGGCAGUCAGAGGCGAUGAAGGACGUGCUAAUCUGCGAUAAGCGUCGGUAAGGUGAUAUGAACCGUUAUAACCGGCGAUUUCCGAAUGGGGAAACCCAGUGUGUUUCGACACACUAUCAUUAACUGAAUCCAUAGGUUAAUGAGGCGAACCGGGGGGAACUGAAACAUCUAAGUACCCCGAGGAAAAGAAAUCAACCGAGAUUCCCCCAGUAGCGGCGAGCGAACGGGGAGGAGCCCAGAGCCUGAAUCAGUGUGUGUGUUAGUGGAAGCGUCUGGAAAGGCGCGCGAUACAGGGUGACAGCCCCGUACACAAAAAUGCACAUGCUGUGAGCUCGAUGAGUAGGGCGGGACACGUGGUAUCCUGUCUGAAUAUGGGGGGACCAUCCUCCAAGGCUAAAUACUCCUGACUGACCGAUAGUGAACCAGUACCGUGAGGGAAAGGCGAAAAGAACCCCGGCGAGGGGAGUGAAAAAGAACCUGAAACCGUGUACGUACAAGCAGUGGGAGCACAGAGCAAUCUGUGUGACUGCGUACCUUUUGUAUAAUGGGUCAGCGACUUAUAUUCUGUAGCAAGGUUAACCGAAUAGGGGAGCCGAAGGGAAACCGAGUCUUAACCGGGCGUUAAGUUGCAGGGUAUAGACCCGAAACCCGGUGAUCUAGCCAUGGGCAGGUUGAAGGUUGGGUAACACUAACUGGAGGACCGAACCGACUAAUGUUGAAAAAUUAGCGGAUGACUUGUGGCUGGGGGUGAAAGGCCAAUCAAACCGGGAGAUAGCUGGUUCUCCCCGAAAGCUAUUUAGGUAGCGCCUCGUGAAUUCAUCUCCGGGGGUAGAGCACUGUUUCGGCAAGGGGGUCAUCCCGACUUACCAACCCGAUGCAAACUGCGAAUACCGGAGAAUGUUAUCACGGGAGACACACGGCGGGUGCUAACGUCCGUCGUGAAGAGGGAAACAACCCAGACCGCCAGCUAAGGUCCCAAAGUCAUGGUUAAGUGGGAAACGAUGUGGGAAGGCCCAGACAGCCAGGAUGUUGGCUUAGAAGCAGCCAUCAUUUAAAGAAAGCGUAAUAGCUCACUGGUCGAGUCGGCCUGCGCGGAAGAUGUAACGGGGCUAAACCAUGCACCGAAGCUGCGGCAGCGACACUGUGUGUUGUUGGGUAGGGGAGCGUUCUGUAAGCCUGUGAAGGUGUGCUGUGAGGCAUGCUGGAGGUAUCAGAAGUGCGAAUGCUGACAUAAGUAACGAUAAAGCGGGUGAAAAGCCCGCUCGCCGGAAGACCAAGGGUUCCUGUCCAACGUUAAUCGGGGCAGGGUGAGUCGACCCCUAAGGCGAGGCCGAAAGGCGUAGUCGAUGGGAAACAGGUUAAUAUUCCUGUACUUGGUGUUACUGCGAAGGGGGGACGGAGAAGGCUAUGUUGGCCGGGCGACGGUUGUCCCGGUUUAAGCGUGUAGGCUGGUUUUCCAGGCAAAUCCGGAAAAUCAAGGCUGAGGCGUGAUGACGAGGCACUACGGUGCUGAAGCAACAAAUGCCCUGCUUCCAGGAAAAGCCUCUAAGCAUCAGGUAACAUCAAAUCGUACCCCAAACCGACACAGGUGGUCAGGUAGAGAAUACCAAGGCGCUUGAGAGAACUCGGGUGAAGGAACUAGGCAAAAUGGUGCCGUAACUUCGGGAGAAGGCACGCUGAUAUGUAGGUGAAGUCCCUCGCGGAUGGAGCUGAAAUCAGUCGAAGAUACCAGCUGGCUGCAACUGUUUAUUAAAAACACAGCACUGUGCAAACACGAAAGUGGACGUAUACGGUGUGACGCCUGCCCGGUGCCGGAAGGUUAAUUGAUGGGGUCAGCGCAAGCGAAGCUCUUGAUCGAAGCCCCGGUAAACGGCGGCCGUAACUAUAACGGUCCUAAGGUAGCGAAAUUCCUUGUCGGGUAAGUUCCGACCUGCACGAAUGGCGUAAUGAUGGCCAGGCUGUCUCCACCCGAGACUCAGUGAAAUUGAACUCGCUGUGAAGAUGCAGUGUACCCGCGGCAAGACGGAAAGACCCCGUGAACCUUUACUAUAGCUUGACACUGAACAUUGAGCCUUGAUGUGUAGGAUAGGUGGGAGGCUUUGAAGUGUGGACGCCAGUCUGCAUGGAGCCGACCUUGAAAUACCACCCUUUAAUGUUUGAUAUUCUAACGUGGACCCGUGAUCCGGGUUGCGGACAGUGUCUGGUGGGUAGUUUGACUGGGGCGGUCUCCUCCUAAAGAGUAACGGAGGAGCACGAAGGUUGGCUAAUCCUGGUCGGACAUCAGGAGGUUAGUGCAAUGGCAUAAGCCAGCUUGACUGCGAGCGUGACGGCGCGAGCAGGUGCGAAAGCAGGUCAUAGUGAUCCGGUGGUUCUGAAUGGAAGGGCCAUCGCUCAACGGAUAAAAGGUACUCCGGGGAUAACAGGCUGAUACCGCCCAAGAGUUCAUAUCGACGGCGGUGUUUGGCACCUCGAUGUCGGCUCAUCACAUCCUGGGGCUGAAGUAGGUCCCAAGGGUAUGGCUGUUCGCCAUUUAAAGUGGUACGCGAGCUGGGUUUAGAACGUCGUGAGACAGUUCGGUCCCUAUCUGCCGUGGGCGCUGGAGAACUGAGGGGGGCUGCUCCUAGUACGAGAGGACCGGAGUGGACGCAUCACUGGUGUUCGGGUUGUCAUGCCAAUGGCACUGCCCGGUAGCUAAAUGCGGAAGAGAUAAGUGCUGAAAGCAUCUAAGCACGAAACUUGCCCCGAGAUGAGUUCUCCCUGACCCUUUAAGGGUCCUGAAGGAACGUUGAAGACGACGACGUUGAUAGGCCGGGUGUGUAAGCGCAGCGAUGCGUUGAGCUAACCGGUACUAAUGAACCGUGAGGCUUAACCU
rnacentral:rRNA from 1 species